UAAAAGAUUUGACCUGUUGUCUUUUUUCAGUUAAACUAAUUGUUCAACACAUUUAUUUUAGACCUCAUGCAAAGAAAAAACUGAAUAUCUAGAGAAAAUGAUUCAGAGAAAUGAAAGAUAUAAACAAGAUGUAGAGCGGUUCUAUGAACGUAAGCGACAUUUAGAUUUAAUUGAGAUGCUUGAAGCCAAAAGACCGUGGGUGGAAUAUGAAAAUGUUCGGCAAGAAUAUGAAGAAGUAAAACUAGCUCGUGACCGAGCGAAAGAUGAGGUCGAAAAACUUAAAGAAGGACAGAUCCCCAUUACACUUCGAAUUAAGGAAAUUGAAAAGCAGCGUUGUGAUUUGGAGGCUCAAAUCAAACAAAAGGCAACCGAUAUUAAAGAGACAUCUCAAAGAUGCAAACAAAAGCAAGAUGUUAUAGAAAGGAAAGAUAAACACGUAAGUUUCCUGCUGGAAUUUUUAUUAUUUUAAUUUGAACCCUCCCCUCCCUGGUCUGGAUAAUGGUCAGAUUCUUGUUUGGAAAUUGUCCAAGAUUCUCCUCAUUCUUUAUUUCUUAUGUUAAUUUGUGAAGGACAUUUAAGAUUUGAGUAUAUAGUAGUUGUGCAAAUCACAGAGGAAAAUUUCUCAAAACUACUAGUUUAGCUAAUCUCACAAGUAUACAGAUUGUGCGGUUGGGGACGGAGGGUGUUUCCUGAGCAUUGAACCCAAGGCUUUGCUCUACUGAGCUGCACUCUAACCCCUC
rnacentral:lncRNA from 1 species